rnacentral:rRNA from 1 species
CUACGGGUCGCUCCAGUGGGGAAUAUUGCACAAUGGGCGCAAGCCUGAUGCAGCCAUGCCGCGUGUAUGAAGAAGGCCUUCGGGUUGUAAAGUACUUUCAGCGGGGAGGAAGGGAGUAAAGUUAAUACCUUUGCUCAUUGACGUUACCCGCAGAAGAAGCACCGGCUAACUCCGUGCCAGCAGCCGCGGUAAUACGGAGGGUGCAAGCGUUAAUCGGAAUUACUGGGCGUAAAGCGCACGCAGGCGGUUUGUUAAGUCAGAUGUGAAAUCCCCGGGCUCAACCUGGGAACUGCAUCUGAUACUGGCAAGCUUGAGUCUCGUAGAGGGGGGUAGAAUUCCAGGUGUAGCGGUGAAAUGCGUAGAGAUCUGGAGGAAUACCGGUGGCGAAGGCGGCCCCCUGGACGAAGACUGACGCUCAGGUGCGAAAGCGUGGGGAGCAAACAGGAUUAGAUACCCCUGUAGUC